rnacentral:rRNA from 1 species
GAUGAACGCUGGCGGCGUGCCUAAUACAUGCAAGUCGAGCGAACGGACGAGAAGCUUGCUUCUCUGAUGUUAGCGGCGGACGGGUGAGUAACACGUGGAUAACCUACCUAUAAGACUGGGAUAACUUCGGGAAACCGUAGCUAAUACCGGAUAAUAUUUUGAACCACAUGGUUCAAAAGUGAAAGACGGUCUUGCUGUCACUUAUAGAUGGAUCCGCGCUGCAUUAGCUAGUCGGUAAGGUAACGGCUUACCAAGGCAACGAUGCAUAGCCGACCUGAGAGGGUGAUCGGCCACACUGGAACUGAGACACGGUCCAGACUCCUACGGGAGGCAGCAGUAGGGAAUCUUCCGCAAUGGGCGAAAGCCUGACGGAGCAACGCCGCGUGAGUGAUGAAGGUCUUCGGAUCGUAAAACUCUGUUAUUAGGGAAGAACAUAUGUGUAAGUAACUGUGCACAUCUUGACGGUACCUAAUCAGAAAGCCACGGCUAACUACGUG